AUACGGAGGGUGCAAGCGUUAAUCGGAAUUACUGGGCGUAAAGCGCGCGCAGGCGGGCUGAUAAGUUGGAUGUGAAAGCCUACGGCUCAACCGUAGAACUGCAUCCAAAACUGUCAGUCUAGAGUGUGGGAGAGGAAGAUGGAAUUAGUUGUGUAGGGGUAAAAUCCGUAGAGAUAACUAGGAAUACCAAAAGCGAAGGCAAUCUUCUGGAACACUACUGACGCUGAGGCGCGAAGGCGUGGGGAGCAAACAGGAUUAGAAACCCCAGUAGUCC
rnacentral:rRNA from 1 species